rnacentral:rRNA from 1 species
GGAUCAAUUGAUUGGUCAUGCCUUGGUAUGUACUGGUCAUAUUGGUUCUCACCUUCUAAUGAACCAUAAUGUCAUUUAUUUGAUGUUAUGGGGAAUUAGGACUGUUACCUUGAAAAAAUUAGAGUGUUCAAAGCAGGCAAUCGAGCCUUGAAUACUUCAGCAUGGGAUAAUGGAACAGGA